rnacentral:rRNA from 1 species
UACGGAGGGGGCUAGCGUUGUUCGGAAUCAUUGGGCGUAAAGGGCGCGUAGGCGGCCGAUCAAGUCGGAGGUGAAAUCCCUCGGCUCAACUGAGGAAUUGCCUUCGAUACUGUUCGGCUUGAGUCCUGGAGAGGGUAGCGGAAUUCCCGGUGUAGCGGUGAAAUGCGUAGAGACCGGGAAGAACACCAGUGGCGAAGGCGGCUACCUGGACAGGUACUGACGCUGAAGUGCGAAAGCGUGGGGAGCAAACAGG